UUGGGUAAAUUGGUUGUGGCUAUUGUUAAUAUGUGCAGGUUUGUGGAUUUGGGUAGUAUCCGGUAUAGGGGAGGUGCUGUCGAAUUUUUUUUUUACAUUUGAAUUUAAUUAUAUAAUUAUUUGUAUCAAAUUGUGUAGAUGCGUAGAACGAAAACCAGAGCUGGUCGCUCAGGUGCGGUCGCAGCUAGUUCGUCUAGCAGCGAGGAUGAUAUUUCCUUAGGUGCCUCUCAAGAAGAGGCACCUACACCACCUACGCCGUCAACCGAUGCUGCCUCUUCCAGCGGUACUUCACAGCGCAGAGGCGGCGUGCCUUCGCAGCGGAAUCAAUUUACCCGCAAGUACGAGGCACAGUGGAAGGACGACCUUUCAAUGUUCACAAACAUUGAAGCCGCCCGAGUAAUAUCAUCGGCGUUUAAAUCGUCGAUGGAGAUUCCAUUGUUUCAAUGGAGUCAGAUAUCCAAGCAUCCUGAAUGGAUGCCUCAAAUCAAUGCAUGGUUUAACAGGUUUGAGGUUGGUAUUAAUUUAUAAUUUUCAGCUUAUUAAUAUAAUUGUAAAUAAAUUAUUAUUUUUAUUUAAACUUGUUUAUUUAUACAAAGCACAAAUUCUGCUGGGACAUUGAGCAUAACGCUGUUGUGAGGAGGGUGUGGGAAAAUCACGCGGCAACUAGGUUGCGUGAUUUUUGGUAUGAAGCACAGAAAAAGGCAAAAAAAAAACCGCGAGGGAUAGGGGUUUCCAAGGCUGGAACGAUGUUGCGGUUUGGAGGGAUUUCAAACCGAUAUACAUCCCGGAAGAUAUAUGGCCGCACUAUCUUGAGCACGUGACGUCUGAGCGGUUCACACGACGCUCACAGUCCGGUGUUGGCAACCGGAAUCGGCCAAUUCAUGGUGGGGUGACAACUCACACUGGCGGCUCCGUUCCGUUUGCUGCACAUGCGAAACGGAUGGUAAGAUUAAUUUAAAUGAAAUAUAUCGUUAAAUUCAGUUGUUGUUAAUAUAUCUUUUUUCAUUAUAGGCUGCGUCUCUUGGACGUGAGCCGAGCCCGAUGGAGCUGUUUGUGGAGACGCACGUGCGGAGUCAAGACCGCCAGAAGGGGGCGCAACAGUUCGUUGAUAACCGUGCUCAGU